GAUGAAGAACGCAGCGAAAUGCGAUAAGUAGUGUGAAUUGCAGAAUUCAGUGAAUCAUCGAAUCUUUGAACGCACAUUGCGCCCCUUGGUAUUCCAUGGGGCAUGCCUGUUCGAGCGUCAUCUACACCCUCAAGCUCUGCUUGGUGUUGGGCGUCUGUCCCGCCUCUGCGCGCGGACUCGCCCCGAAUGCAUUGGCAGCGUCCCUUGCCCCCUCUCGCGCAGCACAUUGCGCUUCUCGAGGGCGGCUCCGGGGCGCGACCCACCGAAGAUGACCACCGUCUUUGACCUCGGAUCAGGUAGGGAUACCCGCUGAACUUAAGCAUAUCAAUAAGCGGAGGA
rnacentral:misc_RNA from 1 species